UUAUAGCUUAGUGGUAGAGUGCUCACCUAGUACAUGUGAGGCACUGGGUUCAAUCCUCAGUUUAUAAA
rnacentral:tRNA from 1 species